rnacentral:hammerhead_ribozyme from 1 species
GUCUAGCUGACGAGUCCCAGAUAGGACGAAAUGACUGUCCUGGAU